CCUACGGGGGGCAGCAGUGGGGAAUAUUGGGCAAUGGGCGCAAGCCUGACCCAGCAAUGCCGCGUGAAGGAAGAAGGCUUUCGGGUUGUAAACUUCUUUGACAGGGGAAGAGCAGAAGACGGUACCCUGAAAACAAGCCACGGCUAACUACGUGCCAGCAGCCGCGGUAAUACGGAAGGUCCGGGCGUUAUCCGGAUUUAUUGGGUUUAAAGGGAGCGUAGGCCGCAUGUCAAGCGUGCUGUGAAAUGUCCGGGCUCAACCCGGGCCUUGCAGCGCGAACUGGCGUGCUUGAGUCCGCGGAAAGCAGGCGGAAUUCGUCGUGUAGCGGUGAAAUGCUUAGAUAUGACGAAGAACCCCGAUUGCGAAGGCAGCUUGCUGCAGCGGAACUGACGCUGAUGCUCGAAAGCGCGGGUAUCGAACAGGAUUAGAUACCCCUGUAGUC
rnacentral:rRNA from 1 species